UCUGUUCUGUCUGUAGCCAUGGUGACUUGGACAUCAGUCCCAGCUACUGUAAGCAACAGCUUCUUGUUUCCAAGUGGGACUCCUGUUGUACAGGGAGGAGUGAUGAAGUACUGUGAUGUCUGAUAUACUACUCCACUCAGUCCCCCAGUACCAGCACCAGUUUCAAGUCCUUUUCUUGGACAGGAGGUGAAGGCAAAUGAUCAGUUUUCAUUUCCUCCUGUUCAUGUAUAGCUGAGAGACAGCUGAGGUGACUGCAGGAACUGUGCAGGGAGAGACAGAGAGAUUAAGAUCUCUCUCCAAAUGCAUGACAUUGUUGUCAGAUACCUUCAAACAACACUCUGGUGGGAUAGGUCCGUGUUUCUUGCAACCUCUUGUAGAUCCACACUCUGACCAUAAAUCAACUCCCUAAAUGAAGAAUGACACCUGCAGAAGUACUGGAUGAGGAGCCAGACACUUCCACACCACAGCUCACCAGAGUGACAAGAAGUAUAGCAGUGGCCACCCUGCAACCUGCUCCAGGAUCCACUGCAAUGUGCUGAGGCAGGGCAAGUGAUACACCACAGCAGCAAGGUGAGGUCCCUAAGAAACCUCUUCAGGAACUUAAAGCUCUGGCUUGACCCUCCUCCCCAGUAAACACUGAGAAUAGUGGCUGACACCGAUCCAUGUUGAGGUAGACACUGCAGAACUGUUGUGGAAAGGCUAGGACGUGAAUAUCACAUGAGCAGGCACGUUACAUACCCUAGGCCAUGUAAUCUUUUCACUGAACUACACUGGAAUAAUUGUUACUGCCUUAGCUGAGAAUCUUGCUGAAAAUGCACAACAAACAUUGUGGCCAAUAGUAUAACCAUGUAUGAUUUCAAGUGUGUUUUCAGCAAACUCUUACUAAGAUGCACUGAAGAAAGUGGCUGAAUAAAUUUACUUUUACUAAUAACAGAAACCUGAUAUCAAGUGUUCCUCAAAAAAGGGCCUGGAAUGCAUCAUCUAUGUAGAAGUUAUUUAGAAUCAUAAACGCAGCAGCACCAGAAAUAUAGUGUAACAGCCAGGAAAUGAGUACAAAGAGAAUGCAGAGAUUUACCAGGAAAUGGUGACUGUAUAACGUUACAUUUGCAUUUAAAGGCAAGUGUUAACGGACUCCUCUAAUGGACGAUCAACUUUACUUUUUAGUCAAAGCACAGACUUGCAAGCAGUGUAAACCAAAAUUGCCUGGAACUGUAAUGAAUGUACUUGCAGGAAACCCAAGCGCUUCUAGUGAUAAAGAUAGCCAGUACAAUACCUAGUGCAAUAACAACUGAUGUUGUGUGUGAUGUUUUGUACUUUCUUGAUGUUUUGGCAGAUAGUCAUAGCUUCAUUCAAAAGCAGCAAUAAGCACAUGUUUUUUUCCUAUUUGCUGCUGACCUGAGAUAGUUUAGAAGAAAAUCACAAAUACUCCAGCCUUUGAGGUAUCACAACCCUAAGCUGAACUAACAAGAACACCCUGCAACCAAAAAAAGAAAGAACGAUCUUCUGUGCUUCAGGACUAACAAAAGGCAUGGGAGUCGUGAUCAUUGCACUCAGCCAUGCAGCCACGCACUGAGUGCUAAUCAAUAGAGACAGAUUUAGAAACUGAUGUAAGUCAUUUCCAGUAACAGAGGUAAGCAGAGGGCUCAAAAAUAGCAUAGCAACAAGAUUGUUCUGCCUGAAGGAAGCCUUUGCCAUCACUCCCACUCCAUUGCCAUCAGCUGUGACACACACAAGCCGUGUAAAUGGUAUCAUUUCAGUGCUGAGUGUGUGCAGCAUUUAGGCUUUUAUACUCCCAAAUUGCACAUACUUGCAAUCUGCUCUGAGUGCCUGUUUAAAAUGGUAUUCAUGUCAGGAUUUGUAUCCCAUCUGGAUGUGUGCCAGUACAUGGCAAGCUGACUUUGUACAGCACCCAUAUGGACCUGAAAACCUGACACUCCCGCCCUCCCCCAGAAGAACACUUACAUCUUCAAAGUGUUGACUGCUGGGCCUUCAUCAGGUGGCUGUGCUGGUGUCCCAUGCUUUUGGGCAUCACAGCCUGAGUACCACCUCAUCCUAUGUCAUCUCCCUUUGUAAGUGACUGUCUCAUGCCAGUUUUUGAUACUAAGCUUCCUUCUAUUUAAAUCUCUCAAGGUCACUCUGCAGUUUUGGUUCUUAUGCUAAAACAAGAGGGAAAGGUUUUGAAAGCACCAGCCCUGUGGCUGAAGGGAUUCUAGCAGGGCACAACUUAGGAGUAUGACGGUAAAAGAGAAGUGGCAGAUCAAAUUUACGUGAAUCACAAAAAUCAUUAAGAUGAUUACAGUUUAGAACCAACACAUUCUUGCAACAAUGAGCAUUUAUGAGCACAAAAUGUAAUGUGAUGGAACAAUGUCUUUGGCUAGAAACUCCAGACGUGUGAAGCAGUAAAAGCAGUUGCCACUCAACUUGGAUAUGUGCAACUUCACAGCACUGCUGCAGUUCACUAAAGAAACAGUGAGCCCCGAGGAUGUCACAGCACAAACUAUUUGCUGGUAAUUCCUUAUCAUGCCUGCAUCCUUUCAGGGGCUGUUUUGGAAAAGUGGAAGCAUGUAGUCAGGCAGUUGAUUUAUACAACACUCACACAGAUGUAGUUUCAAAUUGAGCAUAGAAGAAGCAAGGAUGGUUUGCAUUCAACCUCACUUCAGAUGGUUUAGGGCAAUUGCCUAGGCUCAUCCUAUAGUCAGUGGCAAUAGAGAGGAGCAUUUUCAGGGGCCAGUUCAUCCCACUUAUGCUACAAACAUCUUUUAGGAUGCAGUGCUUUCUCUUCUGUUUUCUACCUCUCCCCAGUGACAACAGAAGAAUGUUGGUUUAGAUUGUGUAUCUAAUUUAUAGGGGAAUUAAGUUAGAUAAGAAAAACCUCAUGCCUUGGGAUUAUUGUGGAUAUUCAAUCUCCAGGCAAAACUCUAAAGAGCCAUCAAAACUUUCAUAAAUGCCCGGGCAGAUGUAAAAACAGAUUUGUGAGUGAUUUUAUGACAGGAAGAUACUACAGCAACAGUGCAAGUGUUGUUUUAGAUUUCUGUGUUGUCAGACUGCAAUUUCUGCUAUAGUAUUUCACUGCCUCCUGUGCCAGGAUUUGCCUCCCUGAAACCGAGAAGCAGUUUUCUCUAGGUAUAAGGAUGGGAGGUAUGUGUAUACCUGGAGAAUUUCCAAGAACUUUUCAAGACUGAGAAGUCAAAUUAGAUAGUGAUUUUGGUAUUUUAGAACAAAUAUAAUUUUGUUGUUAUGACUGGAAGUGGGGGAUCCCGUCCUUGCUGUCCCUAUAUAUGUUACAUGAAUGAAAGUUCAAAAAGUGACAUCUAAAAUAACAGCCGUGGAGGAACAUCUGCAGAUUUAAGUUGUGUGAUUUGAUGGCCCUAAUGCUGUGAUUAGAGAACUAGCAUCCAUUGGAUACCAGAAACUUUUAUUUGAAAAUCAGCUCAGAUUCGCUCAUGCCUUUUGGCAAUACUGGACAGAGUUCUGAGUUCUACACACAGCCUUCUUAGUUCAUAAAUUUUGCCUUAAGGCUGAACUGUUCCCUUUUUCUAUGCCUAUACGCAAUGCUCCGGCAAACACAAUAGAAUGGCAUAUUGGAAAUCUUUCAGCCUCUUGCACCACUUAACACAAUCUUUGUAGCUGUCUGUGUUGUUUACUCAGCCACCAAUAGUAAAAAGCAUUGCUUCUCAUCUAUCCUUCUUCGCUUUAUUUUUUAACCCAAUCCAAGCAGAAAGAAAGCAGUCUCCCAGUUGCAGACCUCUGCAGGAAAGGCUGCUUGUGUGAAGUUGAAAUGGAGCCAGAGCACACCAGCAAGGAAGCUGUGAUUUCAUCCAGCAGAAACUCUGAGGCUUCACUGCAGCACUUUGUGCAGAUGCAGCAUCAUUCUGGCUGGGUGCUCACCCAGUGCUAGCAGAGGAGUCCCUGAGAGGAUGCCCGUGUGAUUCUGUGCCACUGUUCCUUGCUUUGUAGCUCCAGCCCUCCGAGGAAACCAGCUAGUCAAACAUGAAGAACUCAGGCAUGAAACACAACCAGACUGGCUUUGUGUGUCCUUGGAUUUGUCCAACAGCUGCCUCCCCCAGCAUUCAUCUGGAAGGGCAUCAGCUCACAGACUGCGUCCUUGCAGGGUAUUUCACAGUACCAUAUGAAAAUGUGGAGUAUGUGCUUCCUUGGGAAAACAGAUCAAUUCUCAUCCUCUGCAAAUCUGAGCUGUCUGAAGGUGUCCUUUCUAAAAGCCUUAAGACGUUUGCUUCAAGGCAGCUUACAUGUAUCACUUCACAGUUUUAUAAUAAGGCUUUGUUGUAUCAUUAAAAUAUAGGUAAACUUUCUCUGAAA